UACGUAGGGGGCAAGCGUUGUCCGGAUUUAUUGGGCGUAAAGAGCGUGUAGGCGGCCAUACAGGUCCGUUGUGAAAACUGGAGGCUUAACCUCCAGACGUCGAUGGAAACCGUAUGGCUAGAGUCCGGAAGAGGAGAGUGGAAUUCCCGGUGUAGCGGUGAAAUGCGCAGAUAUCGGGAAGAACACCCGUGGCGAAGGCGGCUUUCUGGGACGGUACUGACGCUGAGGUGCGAAAGCGUGGGGAGCAAACAGG
rnacentral:rRNA from 1 species